GACGAGUCUCACGAACGUUAUUCGGAAUUACUGGGCUUAAAGGGUGCGUAGGCGGUGGAGUAAGUCGGAUGUGAAAUACCUUAGCUUAACUAGGGAACUGCAUUCGAUACUACUUUGCUGGAGUAAGACAGAGGUGAGUGGAACUGAGGGUGGAGCGGUGAAAUGCGUUGAUAUCCUCAGGAACACCGGUGGCGAAGGCGACUCACUGGGACGGUACUGACGCUGAGACGGCGAAAGCGUGGGGAGCGAACAGG
rnacentral:rRNA from 1 species